GUCACUAGCAUCUCAUGCCCCAUCAAGUGAGAGUGUGCUGUCUCUCCUCCUGGCACCAGCAAAGAUUUAAGGAAUUGGCAUCGUCUCUUUGUGCUGCAAAGUGAAGAACUGGCCCAAGUCCUUGGUGAGUGACAAAGAGGAUUCUGUAUCACCUCUCAGAGGCUUAAAGACAAGACUGAAAAUCUAUGUGGUGGAGAAUUGUAUAUCUUUUUGCCCCAGUCACCAGAAUUGACGACCCCAGCACAAGCACGUCCCGCACCAGGAUGGAUGCUCCACUGCCUCUACUGCUGCUGUGUGCUUAUUAAGAGAAAUGAUUGUUUUUAAGGAGAAAAGCUUCCUUCUCCCACACCACACUAUAAAAGUGGAUGUUGGCAGCCUGAACAGUUUCUCAUUCCCAUCUUGCACCAUUUCUUUAUUUGAUGUGGACACAGAGAAAAAGGCAGUCAGGUAAGCCUUUGGAGGGCAAAAUCUGGUUUGUGUAAGAGUUUAUGAACCAGGAUUGUGAACAAUUUGGUCAAACAGCAACGCUAGAGCCUUGUCCUUUAGAUCUGCAGCCCUUCAAAGCAUUCCCUUCUUCAUCAGGGUCAGGGUGAGCCCCAUCCCCAGGAUUUGCAAUCAAUGUGCAGAUGGCUCCACCUGCAAAUAGGUCUGGAGCACAAGUUGAGCAUCCCUCAAACAUUUGUUGACUUGAAAGGAAACCCCACCUGUCCUUCCCACUUGCAUACCACUCUGAUUUUGUCUGAGAGCAGAAGCACUGAUGCGUUCUUGAAGAGGUUGCCCUUGUGUUUUUGACCCAGCUGGAAGAAGGAUGAGCCAUAAAUCUCACUGAACAGCCUAAUCUCAUUAUAUUUCCAAGCUCAGUUUCUAGGCCAAAAGGGUUUGGCUAAGCUUCAGAGAAGCAUCUGAACUCUCAGAUGCCGCUCCAAACCAACCUCCUAAAGCUUUCGAUGGUCACACAUGGAUGGGAGGAGUCUCCUCAUGUUGUCACUAGCUGUGUACUGGCAGCUGUGUACUAAUACAUGCAGAUGUUCAUCCAUACCUGCUCUGCAUAAAGGUAUUACACAGCACUAUGUGGAAAAGAGACAUUGAGGGGACAGGUCAUAAAAAGGCAUGCAGUGGUUGUUGCUAGAAAAAAAAAGAAGCUGCACAUCACCUCUCCGUGAAUUUGCUGGGGAACUGACAAAUGGACCACCUGCAGAGGCACCCACCAAAUGCCAGCUGGAAAAGACAUGGCCUUGAUGGAUAAUUGCUGGUGUUCCUGAACAAGUCACAAAAUGCCUGUGCAGAAAAAGAAAAUGUUAACAGGAAACGCUGGAUUUGCUCAUAAGAUUGCAAGCUUCUGUCAAAGUGAGAUGGAGACCACCACUGCAGAGCCAGGGCAGGGCUAGCUUUGCAUGUGUCUAUGUGCUGCUGCUCUGGAGAACAAAAAGGAAGCCAGGAGAGCAAGCAAAUUUUGGGUGUGGGAGAAGAACUUUGCUGCUGCAGUAAACAUGAACUAAGCCCAUCCAUCAGCCUGGGAACUGGGGAAGAAGGCUGCAUGAGGGGGAUGGUUCCACUUCUCAGUGCUUCACACUAAUCUACUUUGCUGUUACAGUUCACAUAAGGUUGCAACAGUUCCCUCUUAGCAUGGGACAGACUCCAGUGCUCCUUAGAAAACCCAGUCUACACCGUGUUUGUCAGAGGUUUGCCUUGCACAACUUUGGGAUGCAACAGCAAGGUGAGGGCAAGAAAUUCCCAUUACCAUUGGAGGAAUUCAUCUUCACUCUCUAGGAAAAUGCUAGUCAAGAAGGGUUGUAUCUCUUUGCCUUUACAAGCUGUGCACGAGCCCACAGCAGCGUUCCUGCAGCCAGCUGGCUUCUCUCCAUGUAUCCAGACCAUGUGGACCAGCAGAGCCUGGGCAUGGGCCAGGCUUCAGUCAUGCACCAGCUACUCCAAGAGGAAGGCCAGCUGGCUUGCUCCAUACCAACACUAGCAGACCACAUGGAACAUGGGCCAGCUAGCACAGCGCUGUUGGCACCAGCUCACUCUCUUCAGCAGCUCUGUCUUGGAGAGGACAUCCUCACUGGGACAAAUCAGGCACUGAUACAUCCAGCCCACAGCUCCUGGGCCUGUUCACCACGGGGUUGCCAGUCUCACACACCCAACAGAGAAUUUCAGGUUGGAUGAAGGAUCUGUGUUUUUACUAAUGCUAGAGAGCAGCUCUAAACUUAGCAAAGCUUUUUGGAAGCCAUGUAGGAGAGUAAAGCUGCCUUAAGGACACACCUUGCCUUCCUGUAUGUGCAGUUGUUGUCUCUCAUCCCAUCACCAUCUGGAUAACACCUCUACGCUCCAAGAAAAUACCUCUCCCAGAAAAUCUCAGCCAUCAGACUUAAAUCUAGCUUAAACAUUAUUACCAAGCAGUUCCCAUAUGUUGUACUGUGGUCAUUCAUAGGGAGGUUUCCUGGCCAUUGUUUCUCUUUGCACUAGGUGUUAUUGUGGAGUCUUCUCCUUGGAGACCUUUUAAAGAUGCCUGGAUGUGAGCCUGGGCAUCCUGCUGCACGUGGCCCUGCUGGAGCUGGGCAGGACCAGGUGGAUCCAGAGGUCCUGACAGCUUCAAUGUGAUCCAGUGAUUAUUGACUUUGGGGGGCUCUCAGGAUCCAGCUGGGGGAUUCUUCUCAUCCCAGGCCUAUGUGCCAGUUCAACUUCCUAGAGCAGCUGCUGCAUAACAGGGGUCUUUGGGAACUGCAAGGAACAGAAAUAUGCUGAGGUUCUUAUCUGGGUUUUGCAUCAGGGUAUGCUUUAUACCAGGUUAACCCAGCCCUUGGAUUUUAAAGUCUACCAAGCAGGGCUUAUUGAAGGGGUCAGAAGUAACUGGUGAGCUUGGUGCACAAAAAAAUUAACCAUGUCACAUUUAGUUGCUCACUGGAAAUAUCUCCUCCUUCUGUCACACAGACCCACUUAAAUCAACCCCUGAAUUGAAGUUCAGGAGAGCAAUACCCAGCAAAACAAAGGAAAGAAAUUCCCUCUUGUAACUUGAGCAGCUGCUGCUGGCUUCUAAGAUAAAUUAGCACUCCAUAAUACAAGAGGCACGAUGGGUCUCUGAUGCCAAAAUGCUGCCAGGGGACAACAAGCUACAAAAGGAUUAUUGUUAUUAUUAUUUUACUUUUGGAUAAAACAACAACAAAAAUGAACUG
ensembl:lncRNA